rnacentral:rRNA from 1 species
CAAUAGCGUAUAUUAAAGCUGUUGCGGUUAAAAAGCUCGUAGUUGGAUUUCUGUCAAGGACAACUGGUCCGCCCUCCGGGUGAGCACAUAGUUUGGUCUUGACAUCUUGCUGGAAGCUGUUGCUGCACUUGGCUGUGUGGCGCAGUGUUCAGCACUUUCACUUUGAGGAAAUUGGAGUGUUUCAAGCAGGCACAUGCCUUUGGACACAGUAGCAUGGAAUAAUUAGAUUGGGCUUUUGCUCCAAUUUGUCGGUUUCUGGAGCUGAGGUGAGAAUUAAUGGGGAUUGUUGGGGGCAUCCGAAUUUAGCCGUCAGAGGUGAAAUUCUUGGAUCUGCUAAAGACGGACAACUGCGAAAGCGUUUGCCCAGGAUGUUUUCAUUG